ensembl:lncRNA
UAAAAUGUUGAUUUAUAAUGACACAGGCCAGUAACAGCAAUCUAAUUCUUCCAAACUAUUUCUCCCCAGGUCCUGGCAAGAACAUGGCUCCAGCAAAGAAUGAUUCUCUUCCUUUAGAAUAUCCUGCCUUUAACACAUCUAUCCAUGCUGGUAUUCGAUACAAAAAUUGGAAACUCCUCACAGGCCACCCAGGUUGUGGUGCCUGGUUCCCACCUCCAACUCAGUCCAACAUUUCUGAGAUACUGUCAUUGGACCCAUCCACCAAGACUCUCUGGCUGUUUGAUAUCCAUCGGGAUCCUGAAGAAAGACAGGAUGUGUCCCAGGAGCACCCGCAUAUCGUCCGGAAGCUUCUUUCCCGCCUGCAGUACCACCACAAGCACUCAGUGCCUUCCUACUUCCCACCUUUGGACCCCCGCUGUGACCCCAAAGAUACUGGUGUGUGGAGCCCCUGGAUGUAGGGCUCCAGGAGGCUGGAGCUCAUUUCUGUGCAGGCUAGACCUCAGACCCCCCUACUCUGCCGGCUUCUCUUCUUUACCAUCCCCACCACUUCACCUGGCCCUCAUACUACAUUACCUACCCAAAAAGUCUAGUUUCAACCCAUAGUACAUUUUAGAAGCCAGUAAAAACCUGGAAGGAUCAUGCUCUUGGCUGGAGUUAGUGUCUGGGGCCAGGGUGGCUGCGUUCAUCCGGCUUCCUAAGCUGUAGUCGCUGGGAACUCGCGUCCUGCAGGCCAAGGCAGCUGGCUCUUUUUGCUUCACAAGUCAGCCAUUAGAACUCCCUUUGCUAAUAACCACUUUUAUUGGCAAGACAGAUGUCUUGUAACAAAGGCAGGGAGCAGAUGAUUGCUAGUGGUUCUGCUGGCUGUGAGGGCUCCCUGUCUAGGAGAUCUUGUUUAGGCUUUCUACAUCUGUGACCUGUCAGCUUACCCCUAACUCACUCAUCUUGCUGUGGAGCAUAAAACCUAUUGCAAUAAGCCAUCAUGGAGGGAUCCCAUGCCUUGGUUUUGGUUUCUACGAUAGUUACGUGUGUAAUUAUCCUACCGCCCCAACCACUAUUGCUCAUUCUGUCUAGACUUCUGCAAUGCCUCAGCUCGUGUGGCUCUAUUCCUGUCAUGCCUUUGGACUUCACUGCCCAGUACCUGAGGUCACUCUCCCCUCCCCUCCACCCAUUCUGAGCUUCAAGGUAGCCCCAAGCCCUGCCCACAGAAGGUGGACUGGUCAUUCCAUGGCCAUGCUCAUGGGAAUUGUCGGUCUGUGGCAUCUGCUAAGGAGGUUUAUUCUCAGUUGCAUGGAAGCUGUCAAAAUUGUGGCAAUAUUGUUCACUGUGCCAUGAUCUAUGCUACUUUCUCAAGCAGUGGAAAGAAAGGCCACUGUGCCCUGAGGUGAUGGAAGAAGCAGUUUGAGAAAGGAAGUGGCCAAUCACUGGUACGCUGGCCUUAGUAAAACUGAGGAGACAGCAACCAUGUUCCUCUCAUUAUCUGUUUUACUGACUUGUACUAGGGUUCUCAGGUUAAAGAAUGAGCACACACAAUCUGACCUUCAGCCCUUUCUCAGACCCUCUUCCAUCUUCCAUCCAUAUUAGCUGUGGGAAGUGUCAGACCCAGCCUGGGGCAAAACUGUGCUCCUCGUCAGCACCGCUGCCUUGCCUGUGGCUUCUGUUUCCUGGAUACUCUCCUUUGCCAACAAUCUCAAUUUCUAUUCUUCACUGAGCACUAGAAAUUAAAACCACCAAAUAACAUGAUAUAUGCCCUUAUGUACGGCCAUCUUCAGUUCAGUAGCAGUAUUUUCUGGUCAUUAAUAUUCUGUAUUUUAUUAUGAUAAGACUAUUAUAAGAAAAUGGUGCUAAAGAUAAUGACAUCUUCUACCCACUGGACUGGCAAACAGCUGGGGUGGCCAUCAGGCCCCCUCUUGUUCCAAAGCCUUUGGCAGCAUCUGAAUGACAUGAGUCUGGAUACUCCUUCCAAGCCCUGUAGCUAUAGUGCUCUGUCACUGAAGGUUACAACAUCAUAACACCUAUUUGAUCUUUCCUUAUUCUCUGAAGAGCUGUCCUCAAUUCUAACUUUGACUGUGGGCUAUAUUUGAAACAUUAACAUGCUAAUAGAUUUAAGAAGACUUUCAGAACGUAAUUUUUAAAAUGACUGGAGAUUUUGUCUGAUAAAACAAAUAGAAUGAAAUAUGUCUCAGAAUAUCUCUCAUUGGAUUUUCAUAUUUUAUAAAAACAGUAAAGACUGAUAGCCUAUCUUUAGGAAGAUUGAUGUUAGUCCUUUCCAAAUCUGUUUAAUCUUAAAGAAGCUUUUGUUUAUUGACUCGUGAGCUCAUUCCUUUGUUACCACAUGAUUGUUCCAGACUUGAGGGACAAAAUAAACUUAACCUUUCUAAAAUUGUGUGAGCC